rnacentral:tRNA from 1 species
ACUUAGGUAUUUUAAUUAAAAAUGAUGAUUUGUGGUGUCAUUGAUAUGAAUUUUCAUCUUAGGUU